rnacentral:rRNA from 1 species
UACGAAGGGGGCUAGCGUUGUUCGGAAUUAUCUGGGCGUAAAGGGCGCGUAGGCGGUGUUGUCAAGUCAGGCGUUGAAAGCCCCCGGGCUCAACCUGGGAACCGCGCUUUGAGACUGGCACGCUCGUAGUCCGGGAGAGGGAUGGUGGAAUUCCCAGUGAUAGAGGUGAAAUUCGUAGAUAUUGGGAAGAACACAGAUGGCGAAGGCAGCCAAUCUGGACCGGCACUGACGCUGAGGCGCGAAAGCGUGGGGAGAAACA